rnacentral:lncRNA from 1 species
ACUCCUUCAACUCAACAAUAAAACUUGAUUAAAAAUGGGCAAAGGACUUCUCCAAAGAAGUUGCACAAAUGACCAAUAAGCCAAGAUGUACAGCAUCACUUAUCAUUAGGGAAAUGAAAAUCAAACUACAAUAGGAACCACCUCACACCCAUUAGGAUUGGCUACUAUUAAAAAAUAAUGAUAAUAACAAGUGUUGACAAUGGAAUGGAAAAAUAGGAACCUUCUUGUGUUGUUGGUGGGGUAAUGUAAAAUAGUACAGCCACUAUGGAAAACAGUAUGGCAGUUGCUGAAAAACCUUAAUAAACAAUUCCACUUUGGGGUUUAAGUACCCAAAAGAAUUGAUAACAAAAGCCAAACAGGCAUUUGGACAACCAUGUUCAUAGCAUUAUUGGCAGUAGCCAAAAGGUGUAGGCAUUUUAAAUGUCCAUCAAAGUUUGAAUGAAUAAACAAAGUUUGGCAUACACACAAAGAGUAGAAUAGUAUUCAUUCUUAAAAAGGAAGGGAAUUCUGAUACAACAUUUAUGAAAUUUAAGGAUACGAUGCUAUGUGAACUAAGGACAAAUACUGUAUAAUUCUACUUAACUUAGUUAAUCUGUCCCAGAGUAGUCAGAAUCAUAGAGACAGAAAAUUAGAUUGGUGGUUGUCAUGGAAUGAAUAGUGGAAUGGGGAGAUGAUUAUGGAAAUGGAGUUUUGGUUUUGUAAGAUAAAAAGUUCUGAAUAUUGGACACACAACUGCAUGACUGUAAUUAACCCACUGAAGUGUACACUUAAAAACGGUUGUGAUGGUGAACGUUAUGUGUAUUCUACCAUUAGUUUUUUUUUUAAAUGAGUAAAUAUUUUGACCAAGCCCCAGAUUUUUAUAAGGCUAAGCUAAUUAUUUAUGUGUUAUUAUAUUCAAG